UUCAGGCUUGUAGCCCAAGUUCAGGGCUCAAGCCCAACGAUCCAUCCAUUCCGGAAAAAAAGGGACGAGGAUGAAGAUAAAAAUGUCGGAGGAGGGUUGACAGUCGACACCCGAAUAAUCUGCGCCGCCGCCGCCGCCGCCGCCGCCGCCGCCGAGAGGAUCCCCGCCGCCGUCGUUUGGUUGAACGGGCGCUGGAGGGGCCGUCGUCGCCGGUGGCCAAAUGCCGACCAUCACGAAGAUAUACUCUAUGCAGGAAGCGUCGCAGCACAACACCAAAGA
rnacentral:lncRNA from 1 species